CACCUGGGGUUACAGUUAGCAGACGGAUGUGAAUAUAUAUGUUUUGAUUUGAGUUAAUGGCACAUUGAACCGUUUUCUGAUAAUAUGCUAGUCAGGCUAUCGUACAGUAGUUGCUGACUGCUGUCAAUGCUGUCAACCCAUUUGCAGCAACGGUAACGGUUUGGUUACAACAGAAACAUUAUGCUUACAGCGUUGAACCACGUGUCUAAUUACUACUUAGACACAUAAUUAAUAGAUUUCUAUUAUGCAAAUUGGCUAGCUUAAACAUCAUAUCGUCGUUUGCUGCUGUCAACAGUACUGUUGCGUGCAGUUGACUCUGAUUGGAUCAUGGCUUCCCCCAAAAAAAGAGCUGGUGGCCAUCGCGGAUGUGCACAAUUAAAACUUCAGGUGAAAGUCAAGCGGCUGACAACGACCCCGGCGACCAAUCAGGAGACAAACGUUGUACUCCGACGUUAAAUAGGCUGUGUGCAGUCUUUACAAGAAACACAAGAUGGCAGCAGUGACCAGCGGCCGCCUCGUAAAUUGGCCCCUGCAGCACAGAAGCACCUGGCAGGACUCAUGAAGAAUUACCACCACAGACAUCUGAGCAUAAACAAACAUGUCAGGUCCAGAGUGAUUGAGUGCCAGUCCCACAAUUUACAUACACUAACUUGGUGAGUCUGAUCUCAGCGUUGUGGAGUUUCAAAGGCGAGCCAUGCAAAUCAGCCACAGGUUUAGUCAAGCUCCAUUUGCAUCCUUAUGAUAUCAGGGGCUCUGUUUUUGUUUUCAACAUGAAAAAGAUAAAGCUGUUUUUACUGGACAUUUUGUUUGUACAAACUCAACGGAGAUAAUGUGUUUUUUCUGGCCUGUUUAUUUUCUGUUCAGUCCGGCCCAUUAUUUGUCUGCAAUAAGCAUCAAGUGUAUGUUAACAAAAUAAAUAAAUAUUAAGAACAGAA